rnacentral:rRNA from 1 species
AAUAGAUACCCGGGUAGUCCACCCCGUAAACGUUGGGAACUAGUUGUGGGGUCCUUUCCACGGAUUCCGUGACGCAGCUAACGCAUUAAGUUCCCCGCCUGGGGAGUACGGCCGCAAGGCUAAAACUCAAAGGAAUUGACGGGGACCCGCACAAGCGGCGGAGCAUGCGGAUUAAUUCGAUGCAACGCGAAGAACCUUACCAAGGCUUGACAUACACCGGAAACGGCCAGAGAUGGUCGCCCCGCAAGGUCGGUGUACAGGUGGUGCAUGGUUGUCGUCAGCUCGUGUCGUGAGAUGUUGGGUUAAGUCCCGCAACGAGCGCAACCCUCGUUCUAUGUUGCCAGCACGUAAUGGUGGGAACUCAUGGGAUACUGCCGGGGUCAACUCGGAGGAAGGUGGGGAUGACGUCAAAUCAUCAUGCCCCUUAUGUCUUGGGCUUCACGCAUGCUACAAUGGCCGGUACAAAGGGCUGCAAUACCGUGAGGUGGAGCGAAUCCCGAAAAGCCGGUCCCAGUUCGGAUUGAGGUCUGCAACUCGACCUCAUGAAGUCGG